rnacentral:rRNA from 1 species
AUUGAACGCUGGCGGCAGGCUUAACACAUGCAAGUCGAGCGGAGAGAGGUAGCUUGCUACUGAUCUUAGCGGCGGACGGGUGAGUAAUGCUUAGGAAUCUGCCUAUUAGUGGGGGACAACAUUUCGAAAGGAAUGCUAAUACCGCAUACGUCCUACGGGAGAAAGCAGGGGAUCUUCGGACCUUGCGCUAAUAGAUGAGCCUAAGUCGGAUUAGCUAGUUGGUGGGGUAAAGGCCUACCAAGGCGACGAUCUGUAGCGGGUCUGAGAGGAUGAUCCGCCACACUGGGACUGAGACACGGCCCAGACUCCUACGGGAGGCAGCAGUGGGGAAUAUUGGACAAUGGGCGCAAGCCCGAUCCAGCCAUGCCGCGUGUGUGAAGAAGGCCUUAUGGUUGUAAAGCACUUUAAGCGAGGAGGAGGCUACUUAGUUAAUACCUAGAGAUAGUGGACGUUACUCGCAGAAUAAGCACCGGCUAACUCUGUGCCAGCAGCCGCCGUAA